GACGAACGCUGGCGGCGCGCCUAACACAUGCAAGUCGAACGAGCGAGAGAGAGCUUGCUUUCUCGAGCGAGUGGCGAACGGGUGAGUAACGCGUGAGGAACCUGCCUCAAAGAGGGGGACAACAGUUGGAAACGACUGCUACUACCGCAUAAGCCCACGACCCGGCAUCGGGUAGAGGGAAAAGGAGCAAUCCGCUUUGAGAUGGCCUCGCGUCCGAUUAGCUAGUUGGUGAGGUAACGGCCCACCAAGGCGACGAUCGGUAGCCGGACUGAGAGGUUGAACGGCCACAGUGGGGCUGAGACACGGCCCAGACUCCUACGGGAGGCAGCAGUGGGGAAUAUUGCACAAUGGGGGAAACCCUGAUGCAGCGACGCCGCGUGGAGGAAGAAGGUCUUCGGAUUGUAAACUCCUGUUGUUGAGGAAGAUAAUGACGGUACUCAACAAGGAAGUGACGGCUAACUACGUG
rnacentral:rRNA from 1 species